GGGAUGAACGCUGGCGGCGUGCCUAAUACAUGCAAGUCGAACGAGGUCUUCGGACCGAGUGGCGAACGGGUGAGUAACACGUUGGUACCUACCCCGAAGUGGGGAAUAACUGCCCGAAAGGGUGGCUAAUACCGCAUAAUACCGCAAGGUUAAAGCAGUAAUGCGCUUCGGGAGGGGCCUGCGUCCCAUUAGCUAGUUGGUAGGGUAAUGGCCUACCAAGGCGACGAUGGGUAGCUGGAUCGAGAGGUUGACCAGCCACACUGGGACUGAGACACGGUCCAGACACCUACGGGUGGCAGCAGUCGAGAAUUUUUCUCAAUGGGCGAAAGCCUGAAGGAGCGACGCCGCGUGGGGGAUGAAUGGCUUCGGCCCGUAAACCCCUGUCAUUUGUGAACAAAUUGUUUCAUCUAAUACCUGAAAUAUUGAUUGUAACGGAAGAGGAAGGGACGGCUAACUCUGUGCCAGCAGCCGC
rnacentral:rRNA from 1 species